rnacentral:rRNA from 1 species
UGGGGAAUUUUGGACAAUGGGGGAAACCCUGAUCCAGCCAUCCCGCGUGUGCGAUGAAGGCCUUCGGGUUGUAAAGCACUUUUGGCAGGAAAGAAACGUCAUGGGUUAAUACCCCGUGAAACUGACGGUACCUGCAGAAUAAGCACCGGCUAACUACGUGCCAGCAGCCGCGGUAAUACGUAGGGUGCAAGCGUUAAUCGGAAUUACUGGGCGUAAAGCGUGCGCAGGCGGUUCGGAAAGAAAGAUGUGAAAUCCCAGAGCUCAACUUUGGAACUGCAUUUUUAACUACCGGGCUAGAGUGUGUCAGAGGGAGGUGGAAGUCCGCGUGUAGCAGUGAAAUGCGUAGAUAAGCGAAGGAACACCGAUGGCGAAGGCAGCCUCCUGAGAUAACACUGACACUCAUGCACGAAAGCGUGGGGAGCAAACAGG